rnacentral:rRNA from 1 species
GUGAGGAAUAUUGGACAAUGGGCGCAAGCCUGAUCCAGCCAUGCCGCGUGCAGGAAGACGCAUCUAUGGUGUGUAAACUGCUUUUGUACGGGAAGAAACACUCCCUCGUGAGGGAGCUUGACGGUACCGUAAGAAUAAGGAUCGGCUAACUCCGUGCCAGCAGCCGCGGUAAUACGGAGGAUCCAAGCGUUAUCCGGAAUCAUUGGGUUUAAAGGGUCCGUAGGCGGUUUAAUAAGUCAGUGGUGAAAGCCCAUCGCUCAACGAUGGAACGGCCAUUGAUACUGUUAGACUUGAAUUACAAGGAAGUAACUAGAAUAUGUAGUGUAGCGGUGAAAUGCUUAGAUAUUACAUGGAAUACCAAUUGCGAAGGCAGCCAUCUGGCCUAAUACUGACACUGAGGUGCGAAAGCAUGGGGAGCAAACAGGAUUAGAAACCCUAGUAGUCC